rnacentral:tRNA from 1 species
CUUCUAAUGGUCCAGUGGCUAAGACUCUGUGCUCCCAAUAUAGGGGGUCCAGGUUCAAUCCCUGGUUGGGGAA